AGAAUCAACGCUGGCGGCGUGCCUAACACAUGCAAGUCGCACGAGAAAGGGUAGCAAUACCUGAGUACAGUGGCGCACGGGUGAGUAACACGUGAAUAAUCUACCUCCGAGUGGGGAAUAACUGAGAGAAAUCUUAGCUAAUACCGCAUAAUACCCACGGGUCAAAGCAGCAAUGCGCUUGGAGAGGAGUUCGCGGCAGAUUAGUUAGUUGGCGGGGUAAUGGCCCACCAAGACGAUGAUCUGUAUCCGGCCUGAGAGGGCGCACGGACACACUGGAACUGAAACACGGUCCAGACUCUUACGGGAGGCAGCAGUGGGGAAUUUUGCGCAAUGGUGGAAACCCUGACGCAGCAACGCCGCGUGGAGGAUGAAGCCCCUUGGGGUGUAAACUCCUUUCGAUCGGGAAGAUAAUGACGGUACCGAUAUAAGAAGCCCGGCUAACUUCGCGCCAGCAGCCGC
rnacentral:rRNA from 1 species